ACUACGUUUUGGAGUAAACUUGGAACGGAACCUAAUGAGUGGCCUAUCCAGAAUGGUAGAUGCUAUUUUCAGACUUUCUAGUGGGCAUCUUCUAACUACUGUGAUGUCCUACAUUGAAGAUGCUUCAGAUAAGACACGUGGAAAUGGACUGAGAAUGAAUGCUGCAUUGUUGCUGUUGCCAGCUUUGUUUCGAGAGAGGGAAAAUCUGUUUGUUGUUGACCAAGUACCACCAUCACCUACGCCAACUAUCGUUUUCAAGGGAACAACAAGCCCAUUGGCAGCAGAUGACAUC